rnacentral:misc_RNA from 1 species
CUGUAUAUUUUUAGCAAUAUCGCGUAUAAAUACUCCGUCGCGAAGAUACGUUAUUUCAAUGUAAAGUUAUUUCACCGAUAAGCAGCGAUCAGAUCGAAAAUGAGCAAGGGUUGUUGGAAAUUCGACGAGGAGGACAAAGCCUUGUAUAUAGAUUUGGAAGAAGACACGGAGGAGGAUAAGCUGUGCAAGGAAUACAGUUCCUGGGAUCAGAUACCCGAUAUUCUGCUGGAGGAGAUAUUCUCAUAUCUGACCAUCCGCGAACGUUACUAUGCAUCUCUGGUGUGCCGAUCGUGGUACCGUGCAUUCAAAUUCCAGAAUGUGUGGUCCACGUUCACUCUGGAGGAUACCACCCUUACACGGGGCAAGUUCAACUACUACAGUGGCUGGCAGUAUGUUCUGGAUCACAUAAGAACAUCCACUUGCUUGAACAAAGUUGGGAGGAACUUCCGCACGCUUGUAUUCGAGCCCAUGUUGAAUUUCUAUAAUCUCUACGAGUUCAUGAACAUGAUAUCAUGGUACGCUGAACGGCAGGGUUCGGAUAAUACGUCAGUGGCCGGCGUGGGCACUUACAUUCGCAGGCUCAAGUUUACCUUUCCCUGCAACAUGGCGAACAGGGAUGAUCCCGAUCGAAUCAGAGUCUUUGGCACAGGUGGCAAACUGCUGGAGGCUCUCAAAAGACUUAUGAGAAAUCUGCAGAAUCUUAGAUGUCUGGAGCUGAUAGAUCUGAUGCUCGAGAGCAAUGAAGCGUUACAUUUGAUGGAUGACAUUUGUACAAAUUGCACUCAGACCUUGUCAAAAUUGAUAUUGAUAAAUACCACGCGUUAUAAUUGUCCGUUGUUACAUGUAGGAGUAUUCCUUAACUUGAACGUCUUGGUUAUUAGUCCUCAAAAUUUGCACGAGGAUAUAAUAGAACUAAUAGGUUACACGAAAUUAAGGCAUCUUCAUAUUCUGCAAAAUCGGUACAGUCUAAAGGAUACUACCAUAAGAUUGCCAAAGAGAUCGUCUUGGGUCAAAAUGAGAGUAAACAAUCCCUAUUUAAAAGUACAUUUUGAGAUAGAAAGUCAUAAAGCUACGGAUAUCCUUUUGCCUAUCGAUUUAUUGGAACAUAGCGCUAUACCAUGUCAUAGUAUAGUAUUGGAUAAUCCAAAUACACAAAUUUCGCCGUCCAUGAUACUUACUCAUGGAACGUUUUUCGACUCAACGAUACAGGUGUAUGCUUUCAAGGGAGUAACAAGAUACUAUCUACACAGGAGCUUCACUAAGAGACUGGACGAGGCAUUGGUGCAAUUCUGCGGGAUGUGCCCAAGCCUACACACACUGGUAGCAUUUUGUAUUUGAAUCCAAAAGCUUGUGAUAGCUUUCCUAAAAUACUGAUGUUAACAACGCGACUUUACGACGUGACGGCAUGCGUUCAUACCUUUACACAUUAUGAAAGUCUUUUUUGCUAUUGUAUGAUCCGAGAUAAAAUAUCGACCGCUACGAUUUUAGAGAUUGUCUCUACUGCGAAAUGUUUACGCUGUUUGUAUGUGCGACGAAAUGUAGUCCUGAAAAGAUGUGAUAAAGCCUGGUCGAAAAUUCUGGAUA